rnacentral:rRNA from 1 species
UACGGGGGGGGCAAGCGUUGUUCGGAAUUACUGGGCGUAAAGGGCUCGUAGGCGGCCAACUAAGUCCGACGUGAAAUCCCCCGGCUUAACCUGGGAACUGCGUCUGAUACUGGGAGGCUAGAGUAUGGGAGAGGGAUGUAGAAUUCCAGGUGUAGCGGUGAAAUGCGUAGAUAUCUGGAGGAAUACCGGUGGCGAAGGCGGCAUCCUGGACCAUUACUGACGCUGAGGCGCGAAAGCUAGGGGAGCAAACGGG